UUUUACACGGUGCACUUUGCGCCGUCAUACACGAAUUAUAUUGUUCAUACAAUUCCAACAAAAGGAAGACUUAUUAAUUCAUCAAAUGGAUGUGAAAACAGCCUACCUGGAUGGAAGACUGGAAGAGGAAAUAUAUGUGAUUCCACCUGAUGAAGUUAAGUGACCUUAUCAAGGGAAAAGGAGAAUAUGGCAUUUGAAGAAGGGCAUAUAUUGAUUAAAGCAAAGUGGCCAUUGCUGAAAUAAAUGUUUGCACAAAAGUUUGAUAAAACUAGGCGUGUUAUAGUCAAAGCCAGAUCCCAGUAUAUAUCAUAAAAUGAGCAGUGAAGAAAUUGCAAUCAAGGCCAUAUGGGUAGAUUUUUAUUUUUUUUAUUUUAACCAAUGGUGAAAGCCAGAUGGACUUUUUUUUUUAAAGAACAGUUAUGUUCAGAAUUUAAUAUGCAUGACUUAGGGGAAAUUAAUCAAUACUUCAACAUGAAGAUUCUGCUUUGAGUACUGUAGAAGCUGAAUAUAUGGCCUUGUCCUCCACUAUCCAAGAAGCUCUUUGGAUCCGUACACUGAUGAGUGAAAUAGAAUCUCCUCCAACAUUAAAGACAACUGUGAUAUUUUGUGACAAUAUGGGAGCUAUUUAACUUGCAAAAAAGAAUGUCACCCUUGUAAGAUACAAACAUAUUGACAUAAGGCAUCACUUUAUAAGACAUCAUGUGGAACAGGGGAAUAUACUCCUCAGUUAUCUAUGCACAGAAGAAAUGUUAUCUGAUCUAACCAAGCCUCUCAAACAAAUUUAAAGCAAUGUGUACCAAAAUAGUGAUGAAAGGUGAGGAUACAGUGUUUAUUGUGUGUGCUUAAAAAAAAAGAAUAGUGCUUAACAUCUAAGAGUUUAUAUAAAAAUAAAAUAUAUCUGUAAGUGCAUGUGUAGCAGAUACGGAAAUGUGAACUUUGGCAACAUUAUUACCUAAUGCAUUCAAAUGGGACCAAUGUGCUGUUGUUCUUUCUUGGCUGCUAAAGGACAACAUUGGUAGACAUCCAUUGGAGAAUGAAGAAUUUUUGUGGAGGAGCAUGUCUGUCGAAAAGCACGACAGUGGAAUGUUUGGCUGGAAUGAGUACUGUUCUCAAUUUGAGUGGAUGGAGGAACAAAUAUAUUGGAGAAUGGGCAUAAGGCAGAAGAGAAACAGAAUUCACCAUUGAGCUGGACAUCAUAGGCUGUUCCACCAACUGGCAACUGCUCAAUCUGAAAAUGUAUAUCAGCUCCAUCUUCGUUUAUCAUAUGCUGAGUCCAUCCUUCCAACUGACUGUUACCUGGAUUCUCAAGCCACAGGAACUGUUUUGUUACACUGCCUGAAGCAUUGUAAUUGAACAGAAUUGUGGUAAAUUGAAAAAUAAUAAAUGAUUAUAAUUAUAAUCAGAA